CAGGUCACUGAAAAACAGUCGACUUGCUGAAGUGUUGUAAGACCGGGUCCUCAACAGACUGGAUGAUGUCCAUGCACAUUGACAAGGACCAUCUUCUUUACUCAGUGCAAUCUUGAAAAUACUAAUCUCUUUUGGAAUCACCAUCACAGUUAUACCCAGAAAUAAUGCUUCGCCAUUGAUCGGAUCUGAGCAUCCCUUAACCAAGUCAAGAGUAUGGCCUGACCAGCGACCAGCCAGCAGACCAAGAGGAACUCAGCCGGCCACGUGGAGCCCCGCUCCAUCCCACCCUUGCCCUGCUCCCCAGCGACCAGCUUAGCCAAGCAGGCACCUGGAGCCCACCCACCCAGCCUCUGGACUCCUGGCUGUGCAGCUACCUGGUUCCACACUACAGAAG
ensembl:lncRNA